GGUUAACUACUAUGCAUCCUGUAUCAUUAGAGGAAUGAGAUUUCAUAUAAAAGAGCUUGAGAUGCAAAGAUGAAUUUAGAAUAAUGGGAUUGCUAUGAUAGGAUAUGAAGGUAAAGAAGAGAUGGAAUAUCUUGGUGUAUUGAUAGAUAUCAUAAAACUGAAGUAUGGAUCCAAUAAUUCAGUAUUCUUAUUUAAGUAUGAAUGGUGGGAUUGUAGCAAUA
rnacentral:lncRNA from 1 species